AGAACUUGAACCGUUGAUGCCUUAUCUAUACUCUGCAACGUCACAACUACCCACUUUGGCACCGUAGGCGACUUGAUCUCUAUAUAUCAUGCCAAAUCAGAAGCAAGAACUCGCUCAAGUACUUAUUUUUUAAUAUAGUGCACUCGAAGCUAGCAAAGAUCUUUUCUGACUUGAAGAAUAUGAAAACUCUUGCUGGCGCAGGUAUUUAGGCCUACUUCAGUUUCUUUUUUGAGAAGGGCCAACUUCAGUUGAAUAUCAUUUAUAAUUCUUUUUUUAAUAUAUGCAUUUAUGAAUAUAUUUUUCAAUAUAAAAUUUUUAGGUAUGAGCGAUCCGUCAGAAGGUUUGGUACUCCCUUCUAGUAUUGCUGAUGAUGAUGUUGGAAAUGACAAUCUUGAUCUUAUUGUUAUUCCUCAAUAUGGGAGAAAUCCUGAUUAUUAUGGGUAAGUGUCUGCAAUCUGGAUGAUGAUAUAUGUAAUUAAAUAAAAGGAUGGGUACAGUUAUUACCUAUCAAUCAUAAGAGUGUCAAUUUAGUUCAGUUCACUAAUAAAAAUCUCUUAUACAAGAGAUUAUCUUUGUUUGCGUUCAUGUACUUUGUCUUCUUUAAUUAAUAAAUAAAAUUAUUGUGUAUCAAUGUGUUGAUUAAAUUAGUCCAUUAAUAGAUAUAAAAUCAUUUGAAUUUGUCCACAUAUUAGUUUAGUUAAUUGUGCUCUCUUUCUUCUUGAAUAUUUGUCAAACAAAGUCUACCUAUUAGUUAGCUAAUAAUCGCAGCUCGCAGGGAACCAAGAUCUUUAUAAUUAAUUACGAACGUUUAUGCUUCUUAAAUGGCUUGUGUCAUCGUGAUAAUGCCAUUACAACCUGUUAUAUAUAUAUAUAUAUAUAUAUAUAUUCAAAAGCAUUCCAACUCUAUGAACCUUCUAUUACACAAUUUUCAAAUGGUAUAAACAUCUAUUUUAAUUAGAGUAAAAUGUUGCUUGUUAGAAUGGCCCGUGAGUCAAUCUAAUUUGCGCUGGGACAAAUUAAUAGAACUUUAAAACUUUUCGACGGGUUUUGAUAAGACUUUAACUUGUCAAACCGUGGGUUGCUGUACGACGGGACUUGAAAAAAAACAUGUUGAGUUCUUUAUAAUUAAUGUUUAAAAUAUUUCAUUAAUUUUAGAGAAUAUUAAAAUAAAAAAUAAGUAAAUUCACGUUGAUCGAGAAAAAUACUGAAAUAUCGAUGCGUGUUUAGGACGAUAUAGAGGAUCUAUUUGAUCACAUUUAAUUCGCAUGCAACAGUAAUUCUGUCACAUUCUAUCACAGAUUCACGAAAGCUUCUCAUCAAAGUAUAGAAACAGAAAACUGUAAAAUUUAACGGGGGAAAACCUAUUAAACAAGAAAACAAAGCAGCCCCUCCGUACUGUGAAAUUACUUGCAAGCCAGUUGCGGUUGAGUUUGGGAAUGAGGGGCUGAGUUUGAGAUAAAUGGAGGGGAGAUAAGUUUGACUAAAAGGGGAUUCACAGGAAGACUUUAAGGGAGAAGAGACGAGUUUGAGAAAAAUUAGGAUAGAGAUUUAGAGGAGAUGAUUUGGGGUCUCAAAUUAACUAAUCCAUUCUUACAAUCACACAAACCGAUGGAAACCCAUUCAGAUUUUGAAAUAAUGAUGGUGACAUUAGUAGCUUAAGCCAAAACAUAAUUUAAAAAUAACAUAUAUAUAUAUAUAUAUAUAUAUAUAUAUAUAUAUAUAUAGUCAUUCUCUAGUGUAGGUAUCUUCAUUUAUUUUUCAUGCGAACACAUUUUAAAACCGCGGAGUUUAAGAGAGUUAGUUUUUAACUCUUUAAAACCGCAUAGUUUAAAAGUUUAUCCGUAUUAAAAAAAAUACGGGCGUCCGCACCUGAGAAUGAUUUUAUAUACACACACGUAUAAAGUAAUUUUUUAAUUGUGAAUUAUCAACCAUAUUAAAGUCAAGAGAAAGUUUAUAAAAAAAACCACCGACGCUAAUACAACGUAUUUUGUUGUGUAAUGUUUUGAAAUAUUCCUGCAAAUAAAUGGAUACUGAAAAUGAUCAUAUUAUUUUUAGUGAUUAAUGAUUCUUAUCGAGUAGAUUCCUGAUCUAUGAAAUGACUUACAUGAGCAUAUUCACCCUUUGGGAGUGGGAAACAAGUAAAAUUAUGUGUGCUAGAGGAGCCAAUAUCGAAGAGUUUAAGUCUAUGCUUCUCGUAAUCAAUUUCCAUAUCAAAACAAAAUGGAGUUGAUGAUAAUCUUGAUUUUACUAAAAAAAAAAAGGAAUAAUAGAUGUCUCAUUAGAAAAUAUUAAUGUGCCAUAUAUAUAAUAGUUCAAUCAUGUAAAAAUACUUGAAAAAUUAAUCUUGAGAAUGCAAAAUAAGAACUAUAGCAAGCACCUCUACAGGCAUAAAUUAAAAGAAUUGCAACGUGUACAUGAAGACUGCUAGACAUAGAAAAAAGUGAUAAAAAAAAAAACUGAUAUAUGAUAAAGAGCAUAAUAGAGAUAGUUGUUAUUAGGGAUGGUAAAAUUCUCCAUGGGUUGGGGUUCUCUAGGGCUCCAUGAUACAAACUCUUAAAAUAAUUAAAAUUAUUUAUUUUAUUUUAUGGUAUUAGUUAAUUUUGAACUAGUCAAAAGUAGUUGCACUUAUUUUGUGGAAUUACAUGUAAGUAAUGGAGCAUUAUGUGAAAACAAGCCCAAUGUUACUAAUUUUUAGGUUGUAAUCUUAAAUAAGCUUUAUUAUAUAAAGCUUGAUGUUAGUCAAUGAAAAGUAUCAUGAGUUAAUUAUUUGGCAACAUAAAAGUUGUAAUUGGGAGUUUAUUGGUUUCUCGAAUAACUAGUAUUUAUUUGGAGAUUUGGGUUUCUUCAAAUUAAUCCCAUUUGUCAUCUAAUUUUUUCUGUUUCAUUUGAUUUCUCCUUAUAAACAGUAGCAUUCGUAUCAUUCCACCCCAAAUGGGGUGAAUUUUGAAUAAUUUUUGGAGAAUGAGGUGGGGAAUUAGAGAAAAAUAAUCUCCAAAUUCUUAAUAAUAUGGGGUUUGAUUUUGUACUUCCCACUCCACAGUCCACACCCACUCCAGUCCCCAUUACAUAUAAAUAUUUUUUAAUUUUUAUUUAAUAAAUUUUUUAUCAAUUACAAUGUCAAUUAAUAAUUUUUUUUAUUUUCACUUGAUAUAAAUGAGUUAUGACUAAAAGAAAACCCUAUAAUAUAAUUUUUAUUCAACCCUAAAACAUUGUUAUAUUUUCUUUUCUAUCUUAAAAUACCACUCUCUUCAAACAUUUUUCAAUUUUGAUAUUAUUUUAAGAUAUUGUUUCAGACAUUUGGAGAUUUUUUUAAAUAAUUUGAAUACUUCAUAAUAUAGUAAUGAUUUUAUUGAACUCUUUAAUUUUUAAUUUAUUGAAAUCAUAUAUCUAUAUCUACUAUAAAAUAAAAAUAAAUGGGGAAUGAGGAGGGAUGGGGAUGGGGAUGAGGAAAUCAUUUCUCAUGUGGGGAUUCCUUAUACCCACCCCACUAAAUUCAUUGAGAAAUGAAGUGGGAAUUAGAGGCAAAAUUUUUAACACGGUGGGGAAUGGGAUAGCCUUCCUACCCCCACCCCACCCCAUUGCCAUCUCUAGUUGUUAGAUGGUGGAUAAUUUUACAUAAAUUAAUUGUAUUAAACUUAUUAUCCGAAUAAAAUUGUUUUAAAUAAAAUUUUAAUAAAUGAAAUUUUGGAAAUAUGUAAUAUUAUUUUUAAUAAUAGUGAUACACAAACUCGUCAAAAUUAAUUUGUCAAUCAUCUGUAAAUUUUACCAACUCUAUAGUUCAAUUAACAUUUUUCUAAACCUCAUUUUAUAUUUAUCGCUUUUGAAGAUUAAAAUAUCAUGAUUUAUUAUGUCCAUAUAAGUAAUUUGAUAACCUCAUUUCAGUAUAUCAGAAUAUCAAGAUUUAUUAGGUCUUUACUUGCGCUUUUGGCUGCAAGAGCCUUCGCCAAUUGAUCAUUUUAUGGGGUUUGACAUAGCCACAAAAUUAAGAUAAAGGUUCAAAGACAGUAUUACAGGUUCAUCCACCAUAAAACAAAUGAUAUUUUGAAAAGAAAAUUAAGACCCUAUUAGUUAAUUUGUCUCGUAAUUAAUUAUUGUCGACAAGCCAUCACAAACUUUCUUCAAUUAUUCCUACUUUUCUAAAAAAAUCUUUAAUGAUAAAAUUAUUUGCACUCUAAAAAUUAUUCUUUAACAUUAUUUUAAUAAAUUAUUUUAUGAGUGAUGAUACAGCCACAAACUCUUGUACAAACUUAUUUCGUACAAACUGAUGUGGCAUCAAUUCAUUGGUUGAAUGAAAAUACAAAAUAAUGAAAAUAAAUCAUGUGGGCCAAGAGAUAUUUAAUUUAACCAAUUUUAUCAUGCCACAUCAGUUUGUACAAAAUAAGUUUGUACAAGAAUUUGUGGCUAUAUCAUUACUCUUAUUUUAUUACAAAAAUACUCAUCAUAUGAAUUAUUGACAAGGAUUCUCUCUUAUAGGCUAAUAUAAUAUAAUUAUUCUGAAUACUCAUAUGGCAUACUCACUAUUCAAUAUAUAAUUUCUCUUGUCAUAAAUCCUAAAAAUCUUAUUUUCAAUCUCUUGAAUAAUGUUUAAUUAAACAAGGAGCAAAUCAAUACUAAAAAUACAUUUUGAACAUAUUUUUGCUUGUUAAUUUUUUUUAAAAAGUAGUUUUUUUAAAUAAGCAUUUAAUUCAGAAGAUGCAUGCUUGGAGUUAUGAUUUUGGAUGUAGAGAAGAUUUGAUCGGAAACGAGAAAUGGCGGCAGCAAGCUUAUUGAAUCGUCGUUCUGCGAAGAAGAGUUUGCUUUUUGCUGUUUCUAGUGGAAUGUCACUUAAUAAUCAAAACAGGCUUCUUCUUCUUUCUUUUUUAAAACCUAUAGCUUUAUGGUUUAUGCUUAGUAACAAAAAAAGAGUCAAAUAUCAGUGGUCUCUAUAACUAACAGUGAGCAAGAUUCGAUUUUGAAAAAUCUUGUACCAAUUUGCUUUUGUGCUAUUUUAUAUUCAAUUGACGAAAGAAUUAAUGCUGUAACUGCUACCCUUGUGUCGAUGACUACAUUAAUAAUGCCCCCAAAUUAAAGCCCACAUAAAAUUAAAUAGUAUACUCUAGCAAAUUAAAUUAAGUCAUAUUGUAAGGUAUCAAGAAUUAAAUAUUCUAUUAGCAAAGUCAAAACGUGAAAUCUAUCCAAACCAAGCCCACCGGUUUGUCCAUGAAAAUUAAUUAUUUCUUCAUUAUUAUCGAAUUAAUAUCUUCACUUGAUAACAUGGUUUACGAGGUAGGUCGCACAUUAAUUAUAUGAUUACUUCAUAGUUAUCCAAUAUCUUCGUACACCUUUUAUGACUAACCUAUUGGUCUAUCCAAAUUAAUAGUCACUUAAUUUAUUGUGGUCCAAUAUCAUCACUUGAUAAGAUUAAAGCAUAUAUACCCACAGCCCCCUAUAUGCCUCUUAAUUAUAUAUCAUGACUUUGUCCAGCAAGAGAGAAAGAGAGAAAGGGUAGGACUCUUUUCGAGCUUUUACAAAUCUACGGUAGAAUAAGAUGAUUUAAGUAAAAAUAAUUUAAAAAAAAAAAACCAAAUACCAAAAUUAACUUUCAAAAUUUUAAAAUUAUUUUCUGCCAUCUCAAAAACAGUGUCAAAUGAAACCUUUUAUCCAACUAAAAAAAAAUAGUGAAAAGUAGUGGGAAUUUUAUUAACCGCACAAAUCAUAAGUCAAAAAAUAUGAACAAAAUAGUUUGUUCUUCGGAACUCUAAUAAAUUGGAGGCAUGUGCUGCCCGAAACCAAAUGAUGCAUCAAGAUUUGUUCUUUGAAAAAUAAAUUAAUUUGUUAGUAGAUAGUUGCGUGUUUUACUUUCAAAAAAGGCUAAAAUAAUUUCAGGCCUUGGAUGCAUCUAACGGCUGAAAUCAUAAUAUCAAGAUUUAUUCUUAAGUCUUUGUUUGAUAUCAAGAUUUUUGAUUCAACCGCACAAUUAAGUUAAAGUUUCGUAUGCAGACUAUUAGGGAUUCAUCCAGGUAUGCAACAAACAGAUGAAAUGAUAUUUUGAAAAGAAAAUUAAUUUGUCUUGUAAUUAAUUAUUGCCGGCAAACUUUAUCUCAAAUCGCACACUUCUUUUCAAAUAUUAUCUACUUUUCUAGACUCUACGAUUACUGUCUACAUUUUUCAAUGAAUUAUUGCUCGGUAACUAGUUUUUUUACAAUCAUUUUUUUCGCGGACCAGAUCGUGUUUCGCACUAAUUGCAAUCAUUUAACCAUAUAUGGCCGUUAAUCGUACCCAGCCAUUGCGCGAAAAAACAUCAGCCGUUGAUCGUUUAUCUGUACAAUUUUUUAAUAUUUAUAAUAUUUUACUUAUAAAUCAUGAUUUUCCUUAAAGUUGUGGAUUCCUCCACUGAAUAGAAAUGGUUGUGAUUUAUUUGUCAAUUCAAAAGUUCCAACAGUAUUUCAAUGUUGUGCAUUUUCAGCUAAUUAGUCAAAGAUAAUCUAGUGCAUCUUCAGAAUUUUUAUCCCUAAAUUUACCAUUACACAUUAUUUCAACAACCUAUCUACUUUAGGGUAUCAAGCUCUUGUAGAAAUAAAUGACCAAUCACCAAGUUUCAAAACCAUGGUGUGGACAUAUGUUAAGCAAUUCUUUAAACCCAUCCCAACAUUGGUAUAAUGUUUCUCCAUUUUUUUUAGUGAAAUAAGUGAUUUGCCUUUUAAAAGAAUUGGUUCUAUGAGGUGGAAAGAAUUUUUUCAAAAAUUAUUCUUACAUGUUAUUCGAAGUUCUUAUUGAUUCAGAUCUAAAGUUUUAUAGCCAAGUUUUAGCUUUAUUUUUUAAUGAAAAAAGAAAAAGUUUCAACCUAACUAUGUUCAUGCUACAAUUUUGGUUUAUAUAUGUAUUACAAACUUCCUCAAAGAUGCAAGUAUGGAUUCUCAGAUUCUAAACCAUGAAAUGUUGGUAAAAGUUGGAUAAUACAUGGUUUAAAGUUGAAUCGAGAAGCCUCUGGAGGUAGGGGUGGCAAAUAUACCCGCCCAGUCUGGAUCCGGACCGUACUCGGGCGUUUUGGGCAUCACUUGAUAAACCCAGAACCCGGAUUUUAUUUCAAAAAAUUAUUAGAAAAUAUAUAUUAUUUUAAAUAUUUAUAUUUAUUUGACUCAUUUAUUACACAUAUAUAAAGUUUUAAACACUUAAAGUUCAUAAUUUCAUGUCAAAUUUUAUUAAAAAUAAAUUUAAAACUUAUAAAAUUACCAAAAAAAUACACAUAUAAUAUUAAAAAAAUAUAAAAUUCGGGUACCCGGAUUAAAGCCCAGCACAACCCGGCCCGGGCAUCUAUGCAUCCGGGUCGGGUCCGGUCAUUGCGAUACCCGGACCCGGGCCAGGGUUUUGCCAACCCUAUCUGGAGGAAAUACUAUACAGCUCCGAUUCUAGUUGGAUUCAUGUAGUCUCUCAAGAUUCUUCGUCGAUUCUGAUCACGUCCAGGUUGAGACUGAUUGUCUCCCUGAUAAAUUUGAGGAUUAGGUUCGCCCAAAAGUUUUUCAUCUUGGAUUUCGUCCAUAAUUAGUGAUGGAGAUUGAGAUCUACGAAUUAACCUGCCACCUGAAGUUCGAGACCAAUGUGUCAUGAAAUGGUUAUAUCACAAAGGUAAUAUUCAAAUAAAUUAGUAACAAAAGAACUAAAUGAAAAUUGCACAAAACAAAAAUAAAAAUUAAAUAUGCAAAUAAUAAGAGGAUGAAUACCCCGAAAUCUGGGUUGUGACUUUUGAUCAUUGUCGCAGCAUGAAGUUUGUUGUGACCUCUAGUUCACAUGCACUCUGUUUUUGUAGUUGCCGCAUGUCAAUGUUAUUGUAGUUCCCUUUUUAGGCUAUAUCUUGUCUAGUUGUCUUUGUGCUCGAAAGUGUGAACUUAGUCAGCGUCGAUAAAUGGAGUGCUUUUGCAUGUUACUUUUUAAUGAAUGGUGGAAACAAUAAUUCAUAAGCAUCUUAGCAUAACAUUUUCGCUCAAUUAAUGCAUAUCAAUAGCGGUUUACUCAUGCUCUGUAUGUGACGCAUUUCUAGGAAGCUUAUAUAUGGAGUUCAUUCGUUUCUGAGGUAUGCUAGAUUUGCAUGGGAAAAAUGAUAAUUUUGACCUGUUUAUUGUCCCUCAAUAUGGGAGAAAUCCUGACCAUACUGGUUAGGUACAUGUAAUAUUUGUUUAUUGCCCUUUAAUAUGGGAGAAAUCCUGACCAUACUGGUUAGGUACAUGCAAUAUUAAUCUUUCGUUUUAUGUUUAAUUAAAUAAAAGGAUAGGUAAUGUUAUUACUUAUGAAUCAUGUCAGUGCCAUUUUGGUUCAGUUCAACUAUUAAUAUCUCUUAGAAUGUUAAAGAAAUUAUCACUGUUAGUGUCCAUGUACUUCGUCUUUUUUAAUAAAUAAAAUUAUCACGUGUCAAUGUGUUAUUUGUUUUGAUCUUUCAACAAAAUUCAGUUUAAUUAAUUAUGCCCUCUUUCAUCACGAAUGUGUGUGUGUAUAUAUUUGAAAAAACUAAAACAAUGAGGGGCACUAUAACUUUUUAUUUGCCAAACAUGGGAUUGUGUAAAAUUAAUACAAUGAGAGGCUUUAAUACAACAACCAAACAAGCUCUUAAGGGAAAAGGACACACACCCCCAUGCCUAAUAUUUAAUAAAGCGACAGAUAUAUUUGUUAAUUUAUAAAGUUUAUUAACUAAUAAAUGCCAAAUAUACUAAUUUUUAUUGUAGUAUAAGCCCAAGUUCAUGGUAGAGAAAACAGGCCUAGGCCCUUUGUAGGAUUGUCCAAGUUGGAACAGGUCGAACUUAAGACUUUUUUAACAAUUCAAUAAAAUAAAACAAUAGCUAAAAGGUAAAAACAACUUAAGUUAAAGAGGAUUUUAUUAAUUUUUUCUCUGUUCAACUAAUUAUACAACAAUAUUUAUUUAAAAAAAAUUGAAAUAGCCUCCAACAAAAAAAAUGAAUUUUACAAAAAUUUACAGCCUACAAAAUGUAGGUUCAAUUGUUCAACAUAGCAUUACUAUAACAAUAAUAAUAAUAAAAGACAUAAUUAGCAUCAGAUUCCAAAUCCAAUAAUCCAAUUUCCAUAAACACUAUCACACUAACAUUUUUUUUCUUUCUUAUUUUUCCAUUCCAUUUUUUUCAAACUUAAUUCGUAAAUUAAAUUUAAUUAUUUAAAGAAAGAAUACGUUUGAGAUUUGAUGCACAAAACAUAUAUAAAUUAUUCAUAAUUUCAAUAUUAGGAAAUAAAUGUUUAGGGGGAUUGAAUUGAUGUCCAAAAUUCAAAUGGCCUAAAUAUGACCCCUUUAUAUAUAUAUAUAUAUAUAUACAGUUAUAGAAUAAUUUUUCAAUGCUGAAUCAUUGACUAUAAAGUCAAGACAAGGUAAAAAAAAAAAAUCAACGUUAAUACAACGUAUAUUGUCGUAUAAUGUUUUGAAAAAUUCCUACAAAUAUAUGGAAACUGAAAAUGACCAUAUUAUUUCUGGCGAUUAAUGAUUCUUGUGGAGUAGAUCCCUGAUCUAUGAAAUGACUUACAUGAGCAUAUUCACCCUUUGGGAGUGGGAAACAAGUAAAAGUAUGUGUGCUAGAGGAGACAACAUUGGGGAGUUAAGUCUGUGCUUCUCGUAAUCAAUUUCCAUAUCUAAAGAAAAUGGAGUUUAUAAUCUUGCUUUUACUAACCUCGUUAACUACUUUGUGAACAAGUUUUUGAUAGACAAAUCUCAAACAUCCAGUGUUUGAUUUUAAGGCCUUUAAGUUUAUGUACUUUCCAUAUUAGGAUCAAUGUCAGAUCUUUAACAACUUUUUUAGAUUUGUAAGUACCUUGGUAUCUUUAGGCCUUCAAUUAUUAAUUUCAGCAAAAAGGUUGAGAAGGAGGAAUUUCUUGAAGAUACGGAGCUUUAUCGUGAUCCUACCACUACACUUCACUAGUAAUAUACUCUCUAAGAUUCUUUUAUUGACAUUGUUUGUUCAAUCCCUUCUUAACCUUCUAGGAUACGACUUUCCUCUUAUUAUACUAUUAAAACAUUUAAUCCUUGAUAUAAAAACAUUUUUAUAGGCCCGAAGUCAGUCCUACAUCAAAAUGCAGAUCUUCAGAAAUAAAUGUAAACCUCUGUUGUUUCAAAAAUUUAAUUCAUGUUAUUUUUCUUUUAAAUUUAUGGUGAUUUGCAGUUCAAGAGUAGUCGUUGGCAUUGUUAUGAUACUAUGAUAGCAGUGCAUGCAGCAAAAGAAAAACAAGUAGCCGGGUAACUAAGCUCCUUGAUUAGUUAUUUUAUUUUUUGUUUGCCUCUAGUCUAACUACAAUUGCCAAUUGUAUGCCCCAAAAUGGUUGCAAUGGUUACAUCUCGAGGGGAGACUUUCGUAGUGAACUUCAACAUUGAAUCCAUAAUCAGAUAGUUCGACUGUAAAGAUUUCCAGCAAAUCACCAUGAAAAUCCACCUUUAUUAAAAUCUUGGCAAAAUGGCCAUACUUUUUCUCUCUUAUUGCCUGAUGAAUUUGCAAAGAAAUGCCAACUUCUCUAGCCACCGUCAUCAGAAUUCUAGGAUGCCAGUACUCCACUCUGGGAUCAUAUGUUCUUAAGGACGUGACUGGAUAGUUGGCUCACAAAGGUUGAAAUUCCAUCACCAUUUGUAUAAGCGAAAGAACCCCUGAGGUAGUUUAUAAUAUUGGGGCAAGAGAAAACAUUUGGUGAAAACCAUCACCUAUAAACUCAGGAAUAUUCAUGUUGUAUUAUCAAGAAUCAAUAGCAUAAUUAUGCGGAAGCGUAUCUGAAUUCAUAACGCUUAAUUCCUCUCUAGAGUAGCGUGGUUGGCCUUUCAGAUCUACACGUUCUCCUAUAGAGUCCUUUAGUUCUCUCUACGCUCUCUCUCUAAUAAUGAGAUAUCAUAAAGAAUGGAAAGAAUACAUGUAACCUGAGGACCAUAACCACUUAUAUAGACAACUUAUUCCAGUUGUCACAUGAUAUUCAUAAUUCUGCCUAUCAUAGAAUUAGAAUAUUAUUGGGUCCUACACAUUAAGGCUCACACUAUAUUAGAUACAUUAAAGCUCAUAAUACCGAAAAUCUAAAUAGAUCACUUUUAAUUGAGCUUAACCUUAUACAACAGUCUGCAACACAUAAUUAUUCACAUAUAAGCCCAACGUUGGAUUAAGGAUCCAACAAUAUUGAAUUAAAAAAUCCAACAAUCUCCCACUUGGGCUAUAUGUGUAACCUUAUAAUUAUGUUUUGCAAAAAUAACCAUAUGAGCUCAACCUUACUGUCAUUAUAGAAAUAUAUAUAUAACUAAUCCGGUCCAUAAAUCAUACUAACGUAAGAUUACCCGUACCUCUAGCUUUUACACAAUAACUACAGAACAAUUAUAUUUCAACAUAAGUAUAAGAAAAGGUGCACGCAUAAGUACACAGAAUGGACUGUAGACCGUAAUAUCCGGAUUCAUAAGUACAAGAGGCAGAACUACAGAACAAUUAUAUUUCAACAUAGCAUCAUUAUCUAAGAAAAGGUGCACGCAUAAGCAUUAUACGAUGAAGCCUACUUGCUUAAUUUAUAAUGGAAGGAAAGCCAACCAUGAUGACUCGUCUGCCAUAAUGUUUAAUGUCAGAGAAAAAGAAAAAAUUAUUUUGCUAAUAUGCAUUCUUCUUAGUUCUAAGACUAUCUAUCAAGAAAAUUGACUUCAUUAAGAUCGUUGCCUUUCAAAGAAUUCAUCAACUGUACAAAAAGCAACUUCGAACAACCAUUAAAUGCUCUAUUGAAAAAUCAAUAUCAUAGGUCCGCACGUUUAAUAUUUUCAUUCCUGGCAACAGAGAAAAAGACUGCACCUCUCCCAGAGUCACGUCCUAAGAUAGUUGUCCAAAGCCAAUGCAGUUUCUACCACGUCUUAUGUCUCGACGAACAUGAGCUUAUACUGCAUUAUUUCCUGCAAGAAGAAGGCCAUCAGGUUUCCCUCCCAAGAAAACAUGAGCUUCUACUUAAAUGUGAAUUAAUUAUCAAGUUAUAACAGAGAAAAACAAAGAAAAGAUGCCAAAAUGUUUGAAGACAGACUGAUAAACUAAAAGGAGACGAGUGGCAAUUAUUUCAUCCAUGUACAAGUAACUGAGAAAAAAACAUACAAUCCCAUCAGGGACAACGGAGGCCAUCUCCACCAAGAGCUUUCCAUAAUUAAUUUAUAAACAUACAAUCUCAUCAGGCUUUAUGGCGAGUGAAGCUUCACGGCAGCUAAGCUGCAACCGAAAUGUCAAAUAAACAAAGAGAUCAAUGGAGAUUUUAGCAUAAAAAUUAACAGCUUGUGAAACAAAGAUGACAGCAUAACAAUAUGCACUAUUUUUACAUCAGAAGCCAUAGUAUUGCAUCAGCAGUGGAAGGCGACAACUAACUAAAGAAUGAUGAAACUCAUUUUUCAUAGCAAAAAUAAUGAUAUUGAAUCCAAGCACAAUAAAUAUUAUUAACUUCAGAUAAGCCAUCUAGCUAAAAUAGCAAAAUAAAUAUGUUAGCACUCUAAUAGCUCAAGAUACAGAGCUACCAAAGCACUGCCCAAGAUUUCUUGCUCACAAACUGCCUCAACUAUCAGCUUUAUGCCAGCUGAUAUACACUCCAGUUUACACAGAUUAAAAAGCCACGUGUAUAACGGCCUCAUAACAGAUUUGAUUCCCUUCUCACGUGCGUUUUCACGUGCUUUACUUAAACCAGCUUAAAACGAUCUUGGAUGAUGCCGUUUUAAACAGUAAGUUGAGCACAUGUUUAGCUCGUGACUUCUUGAGGCAUUUGAACCCAAUCUGAAACGCUUCCGUUUAACCCUUCAAGUUUUGUAUUCAGCAGAUUAAUCCACAAAAUCAAAUCUGGAAACCGAACGAAGGCCAUUCAAAUUUUUUCGGAAGACCUUAAAAUUGAACAUUCUGGAGGCAAAGGGAAGUAAAACACGUUCCAAAAUUUCGUACCUGUCUGUAAAACCUCCGUCAAAAUAUGAACAAAGUUUGCCCUGUAGCUUUUUCCAUCUUUUUUAUUUUUUACAAGACCAAAACUGGAUAACCGAGGGUCACCAUCCUGCGAUGAAAUGAAAAUUAAUUAAUGAACCUGUACAAUCAAAUGCAUAUGAACAUGCUGAAAAAUCAUAUGAAGCAGCCACAAGUUCCCUGACCUAUAUAUUUCUCCAGUAAUUAAAAUUAUUCUUAUAGAAGCAAUGAAAUGAUUAGCAGACUUUUACCUUUCAGUUUGCGUACAAGUCCCCUUACCCAUGUAGUCAUCCUCACUCUUUGCAUAAAUGUAUUGCAACUCCAGCAAUGACCCUAAUCUUGUAAGAACAGGAAUGUGUAGCAAUCGAUAGUCUGGUGAUUCACUGCCAGCUUAGCCAUUCUCAUUUCUCUGACCCUGUGGUUAUUUCUUAUGUUUAUGCUAGCUGCCUUAUGUCUAUUCGAGAGGAUCUAUGGGAUGCCGUAGUGACAUACUUUCAUAGCCAUGAUCGCCCUUGGAUUGUUGGUGGGGGACUUUAAUGUUGUUCAGUCUGUUUCGGAGAUUUCUGGUGGGCAUAACCAACCCUAGGGAGCUAUUGAUGCUUUCAACCUAACAUUGGUGGAUUGUGGGUUGGAGGAUGCUGGGUUCGUUGGUAGCCCAUAUACUUGGACUAAUGGACAUGCUUGGAGGCGGCUUGAUCAGGUGGUCUGUAAUGCUUGUUGGUCUGAUUUUUUCUCGUCGUUUCAGGUUACUCACCUGAACCGUACAGCUUCGGACUAUUCUCCUCUGCUCUUUUCCUGUGACAAGGGUGCGACUAAGGGACCUCCCAGAUUUAAAUUUUUGCAUACUUGGCUCAGACAUCCGGGUUUCUUUGAUGUUGUGACUCAGUCUUGGGAUUCUCCAGUGGUUGGUUUCGGGAUGCGGGCAUUCCAACAGAAGCUUGUCCGUCUGAAGAAUUGUUUGAAAGCUUGGAACAAGGAAGUGUUCGGCAAUGUCUUUUACAGAGUGAAAGAAGCUGAGAAGGACAUAGCUCGGAAGAAGAGGCAGUACGACCUUUCUGGUUCUGUGGAGGAUAGGGUUAUGUUUUCAGAGGCCAGGGCUCAUUUGCAGCAUGCCUUGUUGUGCGAGGAGAGUUUCUUGAGACAGCAGUUCAAUGUCCGAUGGGUCCGAGAGGGUGAUGCCAAUACCCGCUUUUUUCAUGCGAUAGUUCAUUUUUAUCAAUGUCCUUUUGAUCAGAAAUUCAUGAAGAUUUCAUCCAUUAGUUUUUUUGUGGCCCAUUUAGUAGUGGCUGCAUUCUGUUUGUUGAAAUGUCUUAGAGAAGCUUGCAAGUUGCAAUACUAACAAGCUUAAUGAGCUGGAGAUAAAGUGGCAGUGAGCUGGAGUUAAGCUGACAUGGAGCAUGAAUCAGCAUUGUCUUAAGAGCAAUCCAGAGUUAGUUAGAGAGAAAGUAAAAGCAGAGGAAGAAGACAAUGAUCAUGUGAUAUAUGUACAGUACAAUAGCAGUAGCCGUUAGAUCAAUUGAUUUACAACCAUUACACCAUAAGCUUGCUACCCCAGCUAUGCACUGAUGCAUUAAUAGAAAAGAAAGUGAAUGAAAAAGAUGUGCUGUGCUCAAUCAAUUAAUCCUUUUGCGUCUGCCACCAAAACUUAAGGUAGUUAGAAAUUUUUUAACUAGUCAAAAUACCAAUAUUUCCAAAAGCUUUAAGCUUAUGGGACAACCAGUUGCUCAACAUCGACCUUGAUAUCAGAACCAAUCCGGAUGAGGAGUCAGGUGUUCGAAUUCCAUCAUUCAAAAUUGCCUUAUAAUUCCCGCGCUUUCUUGGCAAGAAAAGGCAGUGGAGGCCUUUUAUUAACCAUAAGGGGUGGAUUAAUUGAUGGAUUAAAAUCUUUUGGCAGUCAUUAUUUUACUGGUUGGAAUUUCUUUAUGUUCUACUAUUAAUGAAUUUUCCUUGCCAUUUUUAAGUCUGUGAUAUAAGUGUUCAUAAUGGUGCGUUGUCGAUGUAGUUCUCUCCAGCGAAUCAUGUGUUGAUGCACAUAUUGAAAAAGAGGUAAAGAAUCUAAAUUUCCUGCUUCACAGUGUAGAUGAUAGAAUUUUUCAGUUUAAAACGUGAGGAGUUUUAGUUCACAUGCACUCUGUUUUCGUAGUAGUCUUAAGAUAUGUUGUCACUUGUCAGUGUUCUUGUAGUUCCCUUUUAAGACUACAUCUUGUCUAGUUGUCUUUGUACUCAAAAGUAUGUAGUUAGUGGCGAUAAAUGGAGUGCUUUUGUAUGUUACUUUUUAAUGAAUGAUGGAAAAAAUAAUUCAUAAGCAUCUUAGCAUAACAUUUUCACUCAAUUAAUGCAUAUCAACAACGGUUUACUGAUGCUCUAUAUGUGACUCAUUUCCAGGAAGCCUUUAUCAGGUAUGCUUAACUCAUUGAAAACUUAUUAUUUUUCAUGUUUGGGCCAUCACAACAUUGACAUUGUUGAUGCUGUUCGUGUCUUUCUCACUGUACAUAAGAAUGUAAACUCUUUUUGGAAGGUAUAAGAUCAAGAUUCUGUUUGAAAUCUUUACCAUCAGCUUGCUUUUCAUUUGGUGGAUACUACUAUCGAUAAUGUCAUUUUUGUCAUCACAAACAUAACGCCUACUCUUCAUCUGUACAAAUCACCAUAAAUUUAAAAGAAGAAUAGACAUUAAUAAAUUUUUGGAGCAACAAAAGUGUAUAUUAACUAAUCUUCAUAUUUUUAAUAAUAAAAAAUAAUUUUUGACCCUUAGCAGCUGCUUCAACUUGAAGUUGACCUUCCCAACAUUUCCAACUGACAUUUUGUCCAUCGAUUGUUACAUUCAUCCUCAAAGCAUGCACUGAAGAAGGGAGGCUCAUACUCCACUGGCUGCAAGCCUGCAACAAUUAAGCUCAGGGAUUAUUAAAAAAAAACCACAAUUAAUUAAUUCCAAAUACAAAUGUAGAAACUUAAUUAAGACAUCAGAUAUCAGUUCUAUAAGGGGGUAUCAUCACAUCAUCAUAGUAGAGCGGCUUCACUGAUACAUUACGCUGUAACAAAUUAGGAAUAAUAGAUAUCUCAUUAGUUGAUAAUAAUGUGCCAUAAAUAAUAUUCAAUCAUGUGAAAAUACUUGAAAAAUUAAUCUUCAAAGUGCAAACUGAGACUAUAGCGAGUAUCACUACAGGCAUUUCCAAACCCUUAUUAUAUCUCGGACGCUUUUGCAAUUUACUAAGCAAUUUAGCAGGUGAGGUGCUGAAUGUAUAGUACAGAUGUGACAAGUUAAAUAAAUACAGUCUACACAAAAAUAGAAAGAUAAAUGAAAUUUAAUUAUUGAUGUUGAUUAAAUUAAAUGAAACUGCAUAUAAAGGAAGACAUGUUCCAAUGUCUGUAUAAUCCUCUCAAUAAAUAUCUCAAGAGUAAGAACAUAAAAAAAAAAGAGAAAAUAGAUAUGAAAAUAAAGCCUUAAUUACAGGAAUAUUCUUCAAUCAAAGGCCCUUCAUUUUCAUAAAGAAUUUUCCACACCGAAAAAACGAACUACAUUGCAUGCCUACCGAAAAAUUAAAUAAAAAUUGUUUUUAAUUUCGAAUAGCGAGCCCAAAUUUUCUAUUUCCAGAAGAAAUCUUAUGCUGUUGAAAAGUUUCAUAUUAGGAAUCAUUUACUGCUAGUGUCAGUGAAGUCUCCUUAGUGAUCUGCGGUUUCUUCACUCGUGAUCUACCAGACUUGAAACGAUAAUCAUAUAAUGAGAUAAGUAUUAACUGUUAAUUGAACUGUAGAAUCUCAAAAAUGAGUAAACGGAUUACAAAUUAAUUAUGACGAGUUUGUGUAUCCCUUGGAUUAAAAUAUCAAGAUUUAUUAGGUCUAUAUAAUUAAUUUGAUAUUUUAAUAUCUUCAAUUUGGUAUAUCAGAAUAUUAAGAUUUAUUGGGUCUUUAUCAAGAGCCGUCGCCAAUUGAUCAUUUCAUGGGGUUUGAUACAGCCACAGAACUAAGAUAAAAUUUCAUAGGUAGACUAUUACGGUUACUCCACCAUAAAACAAACGAUAUUUUGAAAAGAAAAUUAAGACUCUGGUAGUUAAUUUGCCUCGUAAUUAAUUAUUGCGGACAAACCAUCACAAAAAUUUUUCAAUUAUUAUUUACUUUUCCAUUUUCUUUAAGGGUGAGACUACUUACAUUUUAAAAAUUACUUUGAAUAUUUUUUAUUUUGAUAAAUUACUUUAUUACAAAAAUACUUAUCAUAUGAAUUACUAAUAAAGACUGUAUCUUUUAUAAACUAAUAUAAUAUUAUUACUCUGAACACUCAUAUAGCAUAGUCAAUAUUCAAUAUAUAAUUUCUUGCUAUAAAUUCUAAAAAUCUCAACCACAAUCUCUUAGAGAAUGUUUAAUUAAACAAGGGGCAAGUCAAUACUUAAAAUAUAUUUAGAACAUUUUUUGCUUUUUAUUUUUUUUUAAAAGUAUGUUUUCGUAGUCUUUUCCUUCUUCUUUUUUUUAGGGGGGGGGGGGGGGGGGGGAAGGGGACUAAAUGGCCCUUUUGUUAGGUUAAAAAGUUGGGGUGUGAAAAUCAAUAUUGUACAUAUUCUUUAAUAGACAAAAACUAAUAAUUAAAAUUUAUGUUAAAGAAUUUGUUUAGAACAAAAUUUGAUUCUAUUGUUGUACAUACUAAAUUGUUAUUAAUUCAUUUUGUACAAAUGCUCGUUUAGUCCCUAUAUUUUAACUUUAGUGCUUAUUUAAUACCUAUAUUUUAAAAAACGCCUCAAGAUACCUAUACUAUUAAAUAUGUUGUACUCUUUUCCUUACUUUUUCUUAGCUUUUACAAUAAUACCCAACAAUAUUUUUUACAUUAAUUGUUUAAUCUAUAAAAAAAGUUACUUAGCAAAUUAACUAAUAAUUAAACAUCAAUAUCAAACAAGCGGUACUUUUUAUACCCUUACAAGAAUCUUGCUGAUCAUUAUUUAUAAAUAAAUUAAUAAUAGCCAAUUUAAAGUAAUGUUUAAUAUCCUUUCAACAACAUUACCAAUAAUGUUUUGUUAAAAAAUUAAUUUACUAAAUUAAUCCUAAAUAUAAAAUAAUAGCAACUAAUUUUUAUUUUACUUUUAUGGCUAAUUUAAUAAAUUUAUUUUUUUCAUUAAUAUCUUUAAGAAUAUUGUUGCAAAGAUAUUAUUAUAAAAGUGAAGAACAAGCUCAAUUAAAAUAAAUAAUGCAAGCUAGUACUAAAUACCUAUUAUAAUUUUAGAAUAGUUUAUUAAAAUAAAAAGGGAAAAGGACAUCUACACAUGCAUUAUUUAUUAUGCAUUACUAAAUACCUAUUUAUUAUACUGUUAAACUUGAGCCGUUCAUCCGUUAUCUAUACAUGCAUUAUUUAUUAUGGUACCUCAGCAUCAUUUUAUCUCCAAGUGCAAAUGCUGAAAAUUAAUUAAGAGGUAAGUAAGGCAUCAGUUAAAUUUGCACCCUACUACCCUGUACUUUUUAUCAAUCAAUACACCUGGUGAGUCCCUAAAAUUUGCACCCUAACAACAACAGCUAGCCACAAUUAGUCAUGAACACCAAAAAGUCCGCGCAGGAUGUGUAAAAUGGACAUGUCUAUGACAUCAUUUUUAUAACUAUAAAAGUAAUAAAAUAUUCUCCUAAAUAUAUUAACCAAUGCGAUUUUGAUUAUUAAAAAAUAUAAUUUCAUUAAAAAUUCAUCGGUCUUACUAAAAUAUGUAAGAAACACGUAAAGUAAUGCACAUAACUUUUUUUUAUUUUUUUAAAGGAGGGGUGCAACAUGAGGACUUCUCAAGAGGUCACUCAUCUUAGUACUGUUCUCGCCCAAGCAUGCUUAACUGCAGAGUUCUGAUGGGAUCCCGUGCAUUAGUGAUGGUAUGGUCGCACCCAAGCAAUGGACAUAACCUUAAUUUUUCAAAUGUUCUUCAUUUUUUUUUAAUCCUUUUGGAUAUCGUGAGAUCUUUAAUAAGGUGGGAAUCAGAGGGGGCCAAGUUCGUUUGGACAGUCCUUCAAAAUAUACUUUUAACUAGUCAAGAAAAAGAUUAGGAGUUGUAAUAUUAACGAAAUUUUAGUAUUGAUAAAUAUGUACGACAGAUUAUUAAUACUAAAUUGAACUUAAAAUGUAUUUAUUAUUACUUUGAUUUUAUUAUAAUUCUAUUUAUUAUAAAACAAUAAACUGAAAUCAAUUUUUGUUCAGAGUCCAACAAUAAAAUAAUCGAAAGGGCCAUUUCCGAGACUAUUUUUUAAACAUUAAGGUCUAUGUCCAUAAUUAAAUAAAUUAUGGAAUAUAAAUAUCCUUUUCCUUCAUAAUUACCGCCAAAUUACUCCCAAUCUCCACGCGCAUUAAAUUUGGUUGGUAUGCUUUGAUCGUCGGUUCGUCUUCAUGUUUACAAUUAUUUACUUUUUGGACCACGUUUGGCACAUGCCGAAAUUGAAUCUUAGCCCUUAAUCUUACCGACUAAUUGUACGAUAAAACUUGAACCGUUGAUGCCUUAUCUAUACUUUGCAACGUCACAAUCACCCCCGUUUGGCACAUGCCGAAAUUGAAUCUUAGCCCUUAAUCUUGCCGGCUAAUUGUACUAGAGAACUUGAACCGUUGAUGCCUUAUCUAUACUCUGCAACGUCACAACUACCCACUUUGGCACCGUAGGCGACUUGAUCUCUAUAUAUCAUGCCAAAUCAGAAGCAAGAACUCGCUCAAGUACUUAUUUUUUAAUAUAGUGCACUCGAAGCUAGCAAAGAUCUUUUCUGACUUGAAGAAUAUGAAAACUCUUGCUGGCGCAGGUAUUUAGGCCUACUUCAGUUUCUUUUUUGAGAAGGGCCAACUUCAGUUGAAUAUCAUUUAUAAUUCUUUUUUUAAUAUAUGCAUUUAUGAAUAUAUUUUUCAAUAUAAAAUUUUUAGGUAUGAGCGAUCCGUCAGAAGGUUUGGUACUCCCUUCCAGUAUUGCUGAUGAUGAUGUUGGAAAUGACAAUCUUGAUCUUAUUGUUAUUCCUCAAUAUGGGAGAAAUCCUGAUUAUUAUGGGUAAGUGUCUGCAAUCUGGAUGAUGAUAUAUGUAAUUAAAUAAAAGGAUGGGUACAGUUAUUACCUAUCAAUCAUAAGAGUGUCAAUUUAGUUCAGUUCACUAAUAAAAAUCUCUUAUACAAGAGAUUAUCUUUGUUUGCGUUCAUGUACUUUGUCUUCUUUAAUUAAUAAAUAAAAUUAUUGUGUAUCAAUGUGUUGAUUAAAUUAGUACAUUAAUAGAUAUAAAAUCAUUUGAAUUUGUCCACAUAUUAGUUUAGUUAAUUGUGCUCUCUUUCUUCUUGAAUAUUUGUUAAACAAAGUCUACCUAUUAGUUAGCUAAAAAUUGCAGCUCGCAGGGAACCAAGAUCUUUAAAAUUAAUUACGAACGUUUAUGCUUCUUAAAUGGCUUGUGUCAUCGUGAUAAUGCCAUUACAACCAGUUAUAUAUAUAUAUAUAUAUAUAUAUAUAUAUAUAUAUAUAUAUAUAUAUAUAUAUAUAUAUAUAUAUAUAUAUAUGUAUGUAUGUAUAUAUUCAAAAGCAUUCCAACUCUAUGAACCUUCUAUUACACAAUUUUCAUAUGGUAUAAACAUCUAUUUUAAUUAGAGUAAAAUGUUGCUUGUUAGAAUGGCCCGUGAGUCAAUCUAAUUUGCGCUGGGACAAAUUAAUAGAACUUUAAAACUUUUCGACGGGUUUUGAUAAGACUUUAACUUGUCAAACCGUGGGUUGCUGUACGACGGGACUUGAAAAAAAACAUGUUGAGUUCUUUAUAAUUAAUGUUUAAAAUAUUUCAUUAAUUUUAGAGAAUAUUAAAAUAAAAAAUAAGUAAAUUCACGUUGAUCGAGAAAAAUACUGAAAUAUCGAUGCGUGUUUAGGACGAUAUAGAGGAUCUAUUUGAUCACAUUUAAUUCGCAUGCAACAGUAAUUCUGUCACAUUCUAUCACAGAUUCACGAAAGCUUCUCAUCAAAGUAUAGAAACAGAAAACUGUAAAAUUUAACGGGGGAAAACCUAUUAAACAAGAAAACAAAGCAGCCCCUCCGUACUGUGAAAUUACUUGCAAGCCAGUUGCGGUUGAGUUUGGGAAUGAGGGGCUGAGUUUGAGAUAAAUGGAGGGGAGAUAAGUUUGACUAAAAGGGGAUUCACAGGAAGACUUUAAGGGAGAAGAGACAAGUUUGAGAAAAAUUAGGAUAGAGAUUUAGAGGAGAUGAUUUGGGGUCUCAAAUUAACUAAUCCAUUCUUACAAUCACACAAACCGAUGGAAACCCAUUCAGAUUUUGAAAUAAUGAUGGUGACAUUAGUAGCUUAAGCCAAAACAUAAUUUAAAAAUAACAUAUAUAUAUAUAUAUAUAUAUAUAUAUAUAUAUAUAGUCAUUCUCUAGUGUAGGUAUCUUCAUUUAUUUUUCAUGCGAACACAUUUUAAAACCGCGGAGUUUAAGAGAGUUAGUUUUUAACUCUUUAAAACCGCAUAGUUUAAAAGUUUAUCCGUAUUAAAAAAAAUACGGGCGUCCGCACCUGAGAAUGAUUUUAUAUACACACACGUAUAAAGUAAUUUUUUAAUUGUGAAUUAUCAACCAUAUUAAAGUCAAGAGAAAGUUUAUAAAAAAAACCACCGACGCUAAUACAACGUAUUUUGUUGUGUAAUGUUUUGAAAUAUUCCUGCAAAUAAAUGGAUACUGAAAAUGAUCAUAUUAUUUUUAGUGAUUAAUGAUUCUUAUCGAGUAGAUUCUUGAUCUAUGAAAUGACUUACAUGAGCAUAUUCACCCUUUGGGAGUGGGAAACAAGUAAAAUUAUGUGUGCUAGAGGAGCCAAUAUCGAAGAGUUUAAGUCUAUGCUUCUCGUAAUCAAUUUCCAUAUCAAAACAAAAUGGAGUUGAUGAUAAUCUUGAUUUUACUAAAAAAAAAAAGGAAUAAUAGAUGUCUCAUUAGAAAAUAUUAAUGUGCCAUAUAUAUAAUAGUUCAAUCAUGUAAAAAUACUUGAAAAAUUAAUCUUGAGAAUGCAAAAUAAGAACUAUAGCAAGCACCUCUACAGGCAUAAAUUAAAAGAAUUGCAACGUGUACAUGAAGACUGCUAGACAUAGAAAAAAGUGAUAAAAAAAAAACUGAUAUAUGAUAAAGAGCAUAAUAGAGAUAGUUGUUAUUAGGGAUGGUAAAAUUCUCCAUGGGUUGGGGUUCUCUAGGGCUCCAUGAUACAAACUCUUAAAAUAAUUAAAAUUAUUUAUUUUAUUUUAUGGUAUUAGUUAAUUUUGAACUAGUCAAAAGUAGUUGCACUUAUUUUGUGGAAUUACAUGUAAGUAAUGGAGCAUUAUGUGAAAACAAGCCCAAUGUUACUAAUUUUUAGGUUGUAAUCUUAAAUAAGUGCGGCCCUACAUGUCUACACACCCCUUAUGUCCACCCAUUGCUUAGUGUGAGACUAUACGCUUCCAUGAUUUAAGGAAAUAAAUUUGUUAAAUGAUCAUCCAAGGUUCGAAAAGUUUUGGAUCUUGGAUGAUCAUUGAGCAAGUUAGUGACACCAUAUACUUUCAAAUCUUCUUUGUCAUGUAAGUUCCACAGACACCUUCCUACGUUUCUCAAAUCUAUCCUGAAACAUAUUAAAAAAAAAGAAAAAUUAGAUAUAAAGGAUUUUCGAACGUUGGAUGAUCGUUUAGCAACUUUGUGAUACCAUAUCUUUUUUAAUCUUCUUUGUCUUGUAAGUCCAAUAGACACCAUCCUGUAUUUCUCAAAUCUAUCCUAAAAUAUAUAUAAAAAGGAAAUAACAUUGCACAGAUAACGUUGGCAUAAACAUGUGCAUGUCCGCCCACCGCUUUUGUCCGCCCACAACAUGUCCACCAACAUAUGCACAGUCCAGCAUGCCCCACAUGUCCACCCACCGCUAAGUGUGGGGCUCUAGGCUUCCAUGAUUUAAGGAAAUAACAUUGUAUAAAUAAAUAAUGUUGACACAAACAUGUGCAUCUCCGCAUGUCCACCCAAAUAUAUACGGUUGCGCAUGUCCACCCACCUCUUAUGUCCACCUAUCGCUUAGUUUGGGGCUUCGGGCUUCCAUAAUUUAAGGAAAUAAUUAUAACAAGUUUAAUUAUAGGCAAUAUACAUGUGUGUUAAUGUAUAUAGACAACAUGUACUUCUAAAGUGACAACAUGUACUUCUAAAUUUAUUUCCUGACAUUCCCUUUUCCCUACCCAUUUUACCAGCCAUUUGAGUUUCAGCAGCAUUUUGGUCAGGUAUAUUUUCUUGAUGGACAGCAUCCCUCCUUGCAUCGACAUCCUCCAUGGAGAUCCAUGUAUCAAAACGAGGUUGAAUUUUAGGCAAUAUAUAUAUGUGUGUGUGUUAACGUUUGAGGAGUAUCAAUACCUCCUUGAUAUUCCAUUGAGGGCUGAUUGUCAAGAGGCAGCGGUGUUGGCUGAGAUUGAUCUUGAAAAUGAACAUCAUCAGGCUGGGGUGAUGGCAGGGGUGUUUCAAGAAAUUGAUCUUGGAAAGGAACAUAAAAAACUAGGGCAGAUGUACCCACCAUGUUCCCUGAUAAAAGAGAGAAGAAUAGAAUAAAAGAAAUUAAUAUCCUGAAGGAAAAGUAAAUUGCCACCCUUUGAGGUGUAUCAAAAUGAGAUUGAGGUGCAUCAAUACCACCUUGAUCUUCCAUUGAGGGCUGAUUGUCAACAGGCGGGGGUGUUGACUGGGGUGUUUCAAGAGAUUGAUCUUGAAAAUGAUCAUAAAAAAAUGGGGAAGGUGGUAUCACCAUGUUCCCUGAUAAAAGAGAGAAGAAUAGAACAAAAUAAAUUAAUAUCUUGAAGGAAAUUGGUGCAACAAAGCAAAAAGCAUAAUCUAAUUCCAAAAAUUAGCUUAAACAAUUGGGUUAAGUAUAUCACCAUCAUCCUCAUAUUGAUUUUGGUACAAACUCCCAUCAGCCUCCGCUGCCAUUUGCUCCUCCAUUGGCUCAUUAGCUUUCAGAGACACUUCAAGCAUAAAAGGAAAAAAGGAAAUUGAAGAAAUUUAUUUCCAAAAUCAGUACAACCUGAACAAUCCAAAAUGAGAUAUAAAAGCAUAAUAUCAUUUCAAAAAAUCAGUAAGGUUCAUGCCUACAGUCAACAGAGUUCCAGUAAGAUAAAACAAAUCAGUAAGAUAUAAAAGUCAUGAAUGUGCUUCAUGCCUACGGUCAACUGAGUUCCAGUAAGAAUAUGAAUAAUGAUUUGCUGUAUUUAGCUGAUUUUGUUUAAGCUGAUUUUGUCUUUGUUUUCUCCGUUUGCUGGCUUGCUGCAUUUUUUUCUUAUUUGUGUGAUUUCAAUUUUGUAUUGCAACUUGAAAAUGACAUGGAUUCAUCUGAUUUGUUUAAGCAAAUUUGAUCCCAAUUUCCAUAUGAUUACCGAUCCGAAUCCAAAUUAAUCCGAACUAUUCAUCCGAUCCGAAUCCGAUCCGAAUGUUUUGAAUUCGGAUGACUUUUCUACCAAUCCGAAUAAUCUGAAAUCCGACAGGACUGAUCCGAAUCCGAUCCGUAUCCAAAUUUGCCCACCCCCACAAGUUUUUACCCCCUAUUAACUUAUAAUUUUUGUCAAAGAAAACAAAACAAGUGAAAAAAAUCACUGUUUCACAGCCCACACCAUGAAGUUGAUCUGAAACUGAACCUUAUAAGUCUUCAAAUGCAGCACACAACAAUGCAGAUUAGUAAAAGUGGAGAGGAAUUGAUUGAGAGCUAUAUUUCAAGGAUACUUACAAUUCACUACAUGCAUACAGAUUUAAACAACAAAAAUCAAAGAAAAGAAAAAGUAUUCUAACAAGGUGCACGUGUCUCUAAUUUUUUUAAGUCUAGCUACAGUUUCUUUUGCAUUGAAAUAAAAAGUAUUUCAAAAAAUCAGUAUUACUUGGAAUAAUAAUAGGCAGAAAGUAUUAUAAGGUACCUUCAGGGUCUCCGACCAAGUAAAGUUUUCUGUCAACCCAAAGAGAUACCAAAGGCACAUAUUUGGGAUGCUUGCUCCAAUCUGAAUCUACUGGCUGUCUAUCCCUCCCCAUUGUAAAAGUGUAGGUUUUAUACCUAGGCACUUUACGAGCACUUUCAAAACCGAAUUGCUGGAGAGCGUUUUCCGGAUGAUGGUACGCAUAGUCUUUAAAAUGUAGCAUCACAGUUGUUGCACAACCAAUUUCCAGAUGAGCACCAUAAUUUUGAGGGAGAGACUUGUACCUGUUAUUAUAAGGCCUCCAGACAAUCUACAAGACGAGAGAACAAGUCAAGCACAAAAAGAAGCUUUUAAAGGAUAUAAAUAAAAAAACAGAGAUUAAAACUACUCAAUUAACCUCAGUUGUCUCAUUGAAAUGCCUCUUGUACUACUCCUUUGGCAGAUUGGCCUGAUGGUUGUGUAGGGGAGCCAAAACCGAUGUCCACUCCACAAGUAGGGGAAAUUUGGACGGAAGCGUGUAGUUGACAGAACAAAGAUAGGAUUCUCUUACAGCGGGAACCCUUUCAAACACAAAUAACUGUAAAAGAACUAAAAGAAAUUAGAUAUAUAUAAAAAAGAAAUAAUAUUGCACAAAUAACGUUGGCAUAAACAUAUGCAGCCUUGCAUGUCCACCCACAGCAUGUUCACCAACAUAUGCACAGUCCAGCAUGCCCCGCAUGUCCACCCACCGCUAAGUGUGGGGCCUAGGCUUCUGUGAUUUAAGGAAAUAACGUUGUAUAAAUAAAUAACAUUGACGCAAACAUGUGCAUUCCUGAAUGUCCACCCAAAUAUAUAUAGUCACGCAUGUCCACUUACCUCUUAUGUCCACCUAUCGCUUAGUGUGGGGCUCUGGGCUUCCAUAAUUUAAGGAAAUAACGUUGCACAAAAAGAACAUAAUUGAGUAUGGUAAAAUGCUAUGAGGAAAUAGAUGAUGGUGAUGCAUUAGGCAUGCCAAAUCUUUUUUUAAUACAAUUUUUUAAUGUAUUUUUAUUACUAGAAUCUCCCCCGUGUAUAUAUAAUAUUAGAGGUGUGAACAAUUGAACCAUAUUAGAAAGAAUUUGAUUUGGAUCGAUUCAUUCGACCGAAUCGUUUAAUCUGACUGGUGCCGACGCCCACAUGGCUGGAAUUUCCCCAGUAUACGAAUAAAUGGACCCAAUUCCCUUACAGCUUGGAGACCCGGAUGGUGAAUAAACUUUCAAUUUCCUUAUAAUGCAGCCAAUGAUGUGGGGCUUCGUAGUGACAAUGAAUGGAAAUUAGAUGAUGAAAUAGCUGCCUUCCUCGGUGAUUGUUGGGUUAGUAUAUUAAUUAUUAUUUUUCUUUCAUUUAUAUGAUUACCAAUUAUUUGUGUUUCGUUGUUUGAUCUAUUAUUUUGUUUGUAUUGAUUUGUAUUUUGUUUGUUCAGCGCGGACAAAUUGCAGUUCCAACUCUUUACCCAUUCAUUAGUCCUGAAGGAAACCACAUUAUACAAACGCAAAAUAAAAUACAAGUGAUUCACAGAAAACUUAUCUGCGCACGAUAUAAUGCUACCAAAAUUGUGCGAGUAUUGGUCCGACCAUCUAUUCGGCAUGCAUACUGAUUAGUGACAUAUUUCAGAGAUCAUUUGCGCGGGGAAGCUUCUCCAUUAUGGAUGGAUCCGCCAUCUUUCGAUCACUGUCACCGGGAGCACUGUCACGGGGUAAUUCGAGCUGCAGUUAAUGAAAGUUUAACCGCGUGAACUGGUUUUUCCUAUUCUCAAUGAUACUUGUGAUUGGUCUUCGUUUAAUUUCUUAAAAGAUUUUAGAAAGCAAAUAAUAUGCAGGUUUUGCCCCAUCCUACUAUAUAGGAAUUCGCAAUCUAAAAAAUCAUACCUUGACAAUCCGAGAAGACGAACAAUUGAAAUUAAUUAAGGCUUCGCAGAUCACGGUCCGUCACCACCACGCUUAUUAGAUCACGAUCCGUCACUAAUGAUCUUCCAGGUUAUGACUCAGGUUUGAUCUGCACUUGACGUGUGGGCGGCUUUAUCACUACUCAAAGCAACUAGCAGGAGAAAAUUUUUCUCUCCAAAUGAGAAAAAAAAACUUUUUCUCUGAUCUGUAUAAUGUGGCUUCUCUCUUCUUUUUGGGAGAAAAUAAGCUCUUUUAUAUCUUUAUCUCAGUGGAAACCAUAGGCUCCAUAUUUUUAUAUUUUUAAUUCUAUUAAAUCAAAUUUGAGUUAAAUUAAAAAUAAUAAAAUCAAAAGUAACGUUACUUUUUCUUGUCAUAGGGGCCCAUCUUAUAAAAUAACACUAGGCCCCUUAGACACAAUCACAUUAUAUGGAGCCUCCCACUAAAUAAUAUAUUUAGACUUUUAACCCAAAUAACUAGUUAUCUUGCUUAUUAAUCCAGUAGCCGCGCAGUCAAUUAAAUGAGUUAACCUGGGGAUCAUAUGGGUACAUACAAUAGUGGCUACAAUAAUUAGGCAUUUAAUUAAACUAGCCCAAUUAUUUAAUUCCAAAUCUACUCCACUAAAAAUUUGGAAUUGACCUCCAUAAUUGUAUGCUAUCCAUGAUAGUGUUCUCGAAUAAUAAUUCGACUCAUGCCACAUUGAUUUCUUUACUGCAUAAUUCUUUGUACCACAUCGUUAAUUAAAUCGAUAUCUCAACUGUCCAAUCGAUUUAAUUCCAUCUUGUUCCUUGAUACUUACUGGUUUUCUCUAAUGAUCAUUUUCAACAUACUAAAUAUGUAUUGUACAAAUUAUAUAUUGUUAAUCUAUAACUCCAAUAUUCAUAAUUGCUCCCACCAAAAUAACCGGUAAUAUUGACUAUAAGUGUGUAUUGUGCCCAAUGGUAACUCAAAUGGAAUAACAAUUACAAUCAUGAAAUUAUAACUAACUCAAGAUUAAGAUUACAGUAAAAUCAAUGCCUAUGAGAUUUAAUAAGUCUGACAAUCAUUUCAAGAUUAAUUAAAUCUCAUAUGUGAUCCAGCUCAAUGUAGUCAAAUUACAUCAGUAAAUUCAUACAUGAUUAAGACAAAUCAUUCAAUGAAUUUACUACAGUCUAAACAUAAAUAGAGCGCCCAACUCUAUUUAUCAACUGCGAACUUAAUUUAUUUAAUCAUAAGAUAACUUGUAUUUAUGUUUUAUAUGAAUCCAUAUAAUGAUCACAUAAAUACAUAUAAUAUGAUUAAAUAGAUCUUAUUCAAUAUAUUUAUGCAAUUGAAAAUAUCUCAAAUAUUUUAUUAAUCAGAAAAUAAAUUAAUAUGCUUUAAAGAGCACAUAAUCCCAACAAUUAUUACUUGAACUUACUCCGCUAAAUUAAAUUUCCAGAAGUGCCCCUAACACCAUCCAUUAAAAUUUCCUUUAUUUGUUUGUACAAUUGUUUAUUUUGUGUACCACCUCUCACUUGUAUGAUUAAACUUGAACAGUUGAUCCAUUAUCUAUACAAUGCAUUAUUUGUUUAUUUCGCACUACAGUGUCGGCACUUGAUCUAUAUAUAUCAGAUCAAACUAGAAAUAAGCACUCUCAUAAAAGGAAGCAAGCCAAUACUAAAUACUUAAUAAAUUGUUUUAAAUAAAAAAAUUUAGAAUGGUAAGUGCUAAAUACUUGAAAAAAAUUAAUUAUGAGGUACAACAUCAGUCAAUAAAUUAGUAUUGUCACAUAAUCGUAGUAGAGGAGCUGAAAAUUUUAGUUAGAGCGGUGAUAUUUGUCCCCCUAUUUAUCUCAAUAGCCUCACAUUCUAAUUUAUUUCAUUAAAAAUUCCAAAAAUAUUUAUUUUUCUAGCUUUUUUUUCCCUAAAUAAUCUCGGCGUAACCAGGAAAAUUAUUGAAGAAUAGAAAGAAGAAUACAGCUAGCAACUCCGCCUGGGGGGGGUGGGGGGGGAACAAAAUGUGCCUUACAUCUGCACUGAACAGUCUGAAAAUCCAUGAUUCUACUCUUCAAGUUAUUCUUAAAUACUCUUUCUUCUACGACAAAAAUAAAACUCCAUAUUUACUUUGGAUUGAAAAAAAGGAAUAAAUAAAUAAAUCUUUACCAAAACAAGCAGUGCGCCUAAAGAGUAACGUUUGUAGAAAAUACUUCUCAUAGAGAAUUUUGCAUACUUAAACACGAACUAAAUUGCUUGCCUAAAGAGGAAAAAAAAUCAUAUCAAACUUUUGAUAUUAUGAGAAUAAUUGACUGUACAGCAGUAAAAGAACAAUUAAAGCCCCAGUAAAAAAAUUAACCUUCCUACUCUGGUACAAUUAUUAUUCGAUGGAGUUACUAUAUAUCAAAAUUCGAAGUCAGCAUUUUAACCAUCUUUUCACUUCUGCUUCACUCUCGUUUUGAGAGGUUGUUUAACUCUUCAUAGAUCUAGACGACAUGUUGGAAUAACUUGAAUAUAAUAGAAGAUCCAUAGUGUACAUAUUUAUAGAUGUGUAAUUUUAUUUAACAUUAUUAUGUCCAGUUCAAUUGUUUACAUUAUUAUAGCAAUUUAAUAGAAAGAUUUACUAAUCAUAUGUGACUACUUUUAAAACUCACAACACUUUUAAAAGGAAAUUUUACCAAGCGUUCAACUAAUUCAUUUUACAGCUGAUUAUUUCUACAAUACAGUUAAUAACAAUUAUUUUAAAAGUUAUAAUAUUAUCAAACUAACCCUUAAUAGGGCAGGAGUUUGCAUAAAUAUGUACAACAGAUUAUUAAUUUUAAAUUUAAUUUAAAGUGUGUUUAUUUGUUACAUAGAUUUAAGUAUUAUAUUUCUAUUUAUUAUAUAAUAUUAGUUUGAAGUCAAUUUUUGUAGGGUAAAUAAUGUCAAAAAGUAAAAUAGUUAGAAGGGUUAUCUGUGUAAAUAUCUUUUCUAAACAUUGAGAAUCUAUGUGUAUAUUCAAAUAAACUAUAGAGCAAAAUUAUUAUUUUCUCUAUGAAUUAUGACCAAACUACUCUCAGUCUCCUCAUACAUCCAUUUUGGCCACAAAAACUCAUUUUACAGAUGAUAUUAAAAGAAUGUUUACAUCACUUGACUUCUUAUUUACAAUUAUUUAUUUCAUGGGCAGGGGCGGAUCUAGAACUUAAUAUUAUCUCGGGCUAAAUUUUAAAAUUUAUAUUUUGAAGUGAACAUAAAAAGUUAGUGUAUUUCAAGGUACGUUACAAAUGUCAUUUUUCUUAUUCUACCAAUUGAGUGAUACACACAGUUAAGCAAAUAGAAACUAAAAAUACCAUAAAACACUAGUUUAUUCGCCUACAUUGUGCACCAAUUAAAAUAAACCCCAAUAUCCUUGAAUAUUACAAGUCUAUGAAGAAGCAAUAUAUUGUUCUUGUAGAAAACAAUAUAUUAGAGAUAUGAUGCACAAAGCAUAUAUAAAAUAUGCAUAAUCUUAUUUUUUGGAAACAGGGGUGUAGGGUGAUUGAAUUAAUGUCCAAAAUCCAAAUGGCCUAAACAUGACCCUUGUCUAUGUAUACAUGUACAAAAUAAUUUUUCAAUAGGAUCCUUACCAUAGUAAAGUAAGGACAAGAUAAAAGACCAAAAAAAAAAAAAAAGACUCUAAUAUAAUGUACUUUGUCAUGUAGUGUUUUGAAACCCUCAAAUAUUGUUUAUCAAUUGUUAUGUAAUUGCAAGUAAAUAUAUGGAUACCGAAAAUGAUCAUAGUAGUUUUAAUGAUUACAUGAGCAUAUUCACCCUUUGGGCGUGGGAAUCAAGUUAGAUUAUGUGUGCUAGAGGAGCCAACGUUAGGGAGUUAAGUCUGUGCUUCUCUUAGUCAAUCUCCAUAUCAAAAGAAAAUGGAGUUUAUAAUCUUGUUUUUACUAACCUCGUUAGUACUACUUUAUGAACAAGUUUAUGAUAGACAUUGGACAAAUCUCAAACCUCUAGUGUUUGGUUUUAAGGCCGUCAGCUUUAUGUACUUUCCAUACUAUGACCAUUGUCGAAUCUUUAACAACUUUUUAGAUUUGUAAGUACUUUUUUAUGUUUAGGUAGAAGUUUCAAAACAGGAAGUCUGGCACCAUAGCACGCCUAGGCCUUCAAUUAUUAACUUCAGCAGAAGGGUUGAGGAGGAGGAAUUUUAUUACAGAUACAGAGCUCUAUCAAGAUCCGACCACAACAUUUUACAAGUAAUAUAUUCUCUAGGUUUCUUUUUUUGACAAGUUUUGUUCGAUCCCCUCUCAAGCUUCUAGGAAAUUGAAUUUCCUCUUUUAUUUACACUACAAACUAGGGUAUAGACAAUGCUGUUCAUGUCUUAUUUGUUGGCGGGUAUAAUGUCUGUGGCAAUUGGCCUAAGCUGAAGAAAAAAUUUAUAAAAGGAAGGCUAAUUGUCGCUUGCCAAAAGCUAAUUGAUGUACUUGUGGAAUUUAGUAUGAUAAGACGUUUAUAUCAAUUUUUUUCUCUUUUUUUCUUCUGAAUAGUGGCUUCUUUUGUACAGCCAAUGAAAUGGGAUGCAGUCUUGCUUGGGCGAUACAAAAGUGAUGUUUUUAUAUAUAAUCUAAUUGACAAAAUCAUUUCGACCGCUUAACUGCCUUGUGAUCAAUUUGUAUAUAAAUUGAAUACUAGAUUCCAUGAUAAAAAUUGAUAACUUAAACAUUAAAGGAUGUUCUUCGUGCUUGCUUUCCUACUUGGUUUUGUUGUGCGCAGAAUGCGGAAUCAAGCGCACUAAAUAAUUACAGAAAAAUAAAGGAUACAAAAAUUACGUGGUUCGGCAAUAUGCCUACAUCCACGGGAGCAAGAGAAAAAUAAUUGUAUUAUUAACAAUUAUUUGAGUACAAAUUUUAGUAAAGAAAUCUCACUUUCCCAUAAUUCAAAUACACCCAGUACUCUCACACACACUCUCCAAUUGCUCACACUCUCAGAACUCUCAAAAGCUUAGAAACUUAUAAGCUUAACAAAUUUUUUGGGAUGCAAAAACCUCUCUGAAUGAAGCUCUAUUUAUAGUUAAGCUUCACUGCAAAAAGUCUUAAAGUAGUUGGCAAAAGUCCUGCAAUUUGGUGCCGACUUGAAAAACAAAAGAAAUGCAUGUGGCUCACCUUUUCUUUUUCAACCAAUUUGAAUAAACUCACUGAAAAUCUUUGACUUUUGAACAGGUUUGGUUUUGCUAUCCAAUGUUCUUCCACGAAGGCGUUCGCCGAAGAACAACUAUAGCCUCAAUGUUUCGUGGUUGUUUCUAGCUUGAAUGUUUUUCCAACCCAAAGUUUUACAUUAUCUAAGAAAAGGCGUACGCAUAAGCAUUAUACGAUGAAGGCUGCUUGCUUAAUUUAUAUUGGAAAGAAAGACAACCAUGAUGAUUAGUCUGUCAUAAUGUUUAAUAUCAGAAACAGAGAAAAGAUUAUUUUGCUAAUAUGCAUUUUUCUUAGUUCUAAGACUAUCUAUCAAGAAAAUUGACUUCAUUAAGAUCGUUGCCUUUCAAAGAAUUCAGCAACUGUACAAAAAGCAACUUCGAACAGCCAUUAAAUGCUCUAUUGAAAAAUCAAUAUCAUAGGUCCGCAAGUUUAAUAUUUUCAUACCUGGCAACAGAGAAAAAGAAGGCCAUCAGGUUUCCUUCCCAAGAAUGAACUAUAUAUUAUUCUACUUAAAUGUGAAUUAAUUAGCAAGUUAUAACAGAAAAAAACAAAGAAAAGAUGCCAAAAUGUUGAAGACAGACUGAUAAACUAAAAGGAGACAAGUGGCAAUUAUUUCAUCCAUGUACAAGUAACUGAGAAAAAAACAUACAAUCCCAUCAGGGACAGCGGAGGCCAUCUCCACCAAGAGCUUUCCAUAAUUAAUUUAUAAACAUACAAUCUCAUCAGGCUUUAUGGCGAGUGAAGCUUCACGGCAGCUAAGCUGCAACCGAAACAUUGAACAGAAAAGGAAAAACAUAAAGAGAUCAAUGGAGAUUUUAGCAUAAAAAUUAACAGCUUGUGAAACAAAGAUGACAGCAUAACAAUAUGCACUAUUUUUACAUCAGAAGCCAUAGUAUUGCAUCAGCAGUGGAAGGCGACAACUAACUAAAGAAUGAUGAAACUCAUUUUUCAUAGCAAAAAUAAUGAUAUUGAAUCCAAGCACAAUAAAUAUUAUUAACUUCAGAUAAGCCAUCUAGCUAAAAUAGCAAAAUAAAUAUGUUAGCACUCUAAUAGCUCAAGAUACAGAGCUACCAAAGCACUGCCCAAGAUUUCUUGCUCACAAACUGCCUCAACUAUCAGCUUUAUGCCAGCUGAUAUACACUCCAGUUUACACAGAUUAAAAAGCCACGUGUAUAACGGCCUCAUAACAGAUUUGAUUCCCUUCUCACGUGCGUUUUCACGUGCUUUACUUAAACCAGCUUAAAACGAUCUUGGAUGAUGCCGUUUUAAACAGUAAGUUGAGCACAUGUUUAGCUCGUGACUUCUUGAGGCAUUUGAACCCAAUCUGAAACGCUUCCGUUUAAUCCUUCCAAGUUUUGUAUUUUGUAUUCAGCAGAUUAAUCCACAAAAUCAAAUCUGGAAACCGAACGAAGGCCAUUCAAAUUUUUUCGGAAGACCUUCAAAUUGAACAUUCUGGAGGCAGGGGAAGUAAAACACGUUCCAAAAUUUCGUACCUGUCUGUAAAACCUCCGUCAAAGUAUGAACAAAGUUUGCCCUAUAGCUUUUUCCAUCUUUGUUAUUUUUUACAAGACCAAAACUGGAUAACCGAGGGUUACCAUCCUGCCAUAAAAUGAAAAUUAAUUAAUGAACCUGUACAAUCAAAGGCAUAUGAACAUGCUGAAAAAUAAUAUGAAGCAGCCACAAGUUCCCUGACCUAUAUAUUUCUCCAGUAAUUAAAAUUAUUCUUAUAGAAGCAAUGAAAUGAUUAGCAGACUUUUACCUUUCAGUUUGCGUACAAGCCCCCUUGCCCAUGUAGUCAUCCUCAAUAUUUGCAUGUAGCCAUCCUCACUCUUUGCAUAAAUGUAUUGCAACUCCAGCAACGACGCUAAUCUUGUAAGAACACGAAUGUGUAGCAAUCAAUAGUCAACGCAACUAUUUAUUUCAAAACUCAUGCUUCCUAGAAGAUUUUUUUUUUUCCUUUUUUUUUAAAAAAACUUAAAUUAGCGGGAAAACUUGAGUCUAAAGAUAUAGGUAUUAGACACAUAAUAAAAUCAUGCAAAACCCAUGCUUCCUAAAAGAUUUUUUUUUUUUUUUUUAAGUAACGUGAUACUAACAAAGUCAGUGGCUUAAUAGAAAAAAUUCAAAAUCAACCCACAAAAAAUUCUUAUGCUUCCAUUAUUAACCCAACUGCUAUUCUUAACCCCAACAUUGUUCCUCGACCCCAAAAAUCAUUCGUGGAUGCUGUUUCUGGAUCUACAGCUAAACUGAUUCCAAUCAACCCGGUGUCUCUGGUCCGGGGAGAACCUGCAGUUAUUUUUUCAGCUGAAGAAAUUAAAUCCAUGGCAGAACCUUUCAAAAUGUCCCUAAUAGGUAAGUUCUCUUUUGGCCGACCUUCAAUGGAUAUUAUAAGAAAUUUUUUUGUUUCAUUGGAUUUAAAAGGCAACACCCAAAUUUCAUUACUAUAUCCUCGCCAUAUUUUAAUUAAAUUGCAACUUGAGGAAGAUUAUUCCCGAAUUUGGCUUAGAUAGGCAUGGUACAUUAAUGGAAAGUCCAUGCGCAUUUUUAAGCGGUCAACUUCUUUUAGAUGUUCUGAAGAGUCACCUGUAGUUCUUGUCUGGGUAUCUCUGCCUUAUCUCCCAUUGCAUUUUAUUCAUUGCAAGCCAGCUUUAUUCUCUAUUACUGCAGCCAUCGGUACUCCUCUGCGUGUUGAUCACGCCACAGCCUCAGUUAAUAGGUCAUCAGUUGCUAGAGUUUUGGUUGAGUACGAUGUUUCGCGGCCUUUAUUGCCGCGUAUUUAGAUUGGAGAGGGGGAAAUCGAAUUUUGGCAAGAUGUGGUUUUCGAGAGGGUUCCCAAAUAUUGUAGAUCGUGUAAACAUCUUGGCCACUCAGCUGAUACAUGUUAUGUUUCCAAUCCUGGGCUUCACAAGCCCCAACAGCCAGUUAGCGAGCCUCAUACUAAAGUAAUUAAGGAUAAGAGGAAAAUGCCAGUUUCUACUCAAGAAGUACAACCAUGGGCUCCUACUACAGCUCAGUAUGUGGUGGUUGAUAACAAGCGGCCACAAGGAUCCAAAAUUCAGACUAUAGUCAGCUCAGACCAGAAUAAUUUGGCUCAUACUGUUCCUCUCCCUACGCUCCAGGAUAUCGGAAUGGUUGCUGAUAGAAUUCCAUGUCCCCCAGUUACAGAUUGUGGUGGACCUUCAGAAGGACAGAGAGCUUGUGAGGUGCCUAUAGAUGACCAUUUACAAGUCGGUUUUAACUCCCAUUGCACCGAUAUUCCUGAUUUUGAUGAGAACGGUGAUGGCGGCUUAGGAAGAUCCCGAUUGGAUGGAGAUGCUGUUUCGGAUACAGAGUCUGGAUCUGGCGACGAGGGCCGCUUCUCGACUGACCCUGAUGAGGCUCACACUCCCUUAGCCCGGAUGCGGUGAUUGACAACUUUGAUGGCCAGCGGAUUACUACUCAUUCUAGGGAUUUUUCAUUAGUUACCGGUCGCAGACACCGUAAGACUCAGAGGCGGAUGCGGGAUUCCCCCAUCACCCCAUCAUGAUUCGCUCGCUUAUUUGGAACAUUAGGGGGAUCAGCAAGGCCCCCGCGGUCCGCAGAUUGCGGAAAUUGAUACGAUUGCACAGACUAUCUCUUAUUUGCAUUUUGGAGCCAUUUGUUUCGUCAGAUCAUUUGGAGGAGAUUCGAAUUCGUUUGGGAAUGGACCACGCUCUGUCUUUUCACUCAGGGAAGAUUUGGGUGUUUUGGUCAGCGUUUUUUUUUUGUGGAGCUGUUGCCGGGCAUGGGUCAGGUGAUUCAUUGCCAGGUUAGCCAUUCUCAUUUCUCUGACCCAGUGGUUAUUUCUUAUGUUUAUGCUAGCUGCCUUAUGUCUAUUCGAGAGGAUCUCUGGGAUGCCCUAGUGACAUACUUUCAUAGCCAUGAUCGCCCUUGGAUUGUUGGGGGGGACUUUAAUGUUGUUCAGUCUGUUUCGGAGAUUUCUGGUGGGCAUAACCAACCCCAGGGAGCUAUCGAUGCUUUCAACCUAACAUUGGUGGAUUGUGGGUUGGAGGAUGCUGGGUUCGUUGGUAGCCCAUAUACUUGGACUAAUGGACAUACUUGGAGGCGGCUUGAUCAUGUGGUCUAUAAUGCUCGUUGGUCUGAUUUUUUCUCAUCAUUUCGGGUUACUCACCUAAACCGUACAGCUUUGGACCAUUCUCCUCUGCUCUUUUCCUGUGACAAGGAUGCGACUAAGGGACCUCCCAGAUUUAAAUUUUUGCAUACUUGGCUCAUACAUUGGAAUUUUCCACACUGAAAAAACGAACAACAUUGCAUGCCUAACGAAAAAUUAAAUAAAAAUUGUUUCUAAUUUCGAAUAGCGAGCCCAAAUUUUCUAUUUCCAGAAGAAAUCUUAUGCUGUUUAAAAGUUUCAUAUUAGGAAUCAUUUACUGCUAGUGUCAGUGAAGUCUCCUCAGUGAUCUGCGGUUUCUUCACUCGUGAUCUACCAGACUUGAAACGAUAAUCAUAUAAUGAGAUAAGUAUUAACUGUUAAUUGAACUGUAGAAUCUAAAAAAUGAGUAAACGAAUUACAAAUUAAUUAUGACGAGUUUGUGUAUCCCUUGGAUUAAAAUACCAAGAUUUAUUAGGUCUAUAUAAUUAAUUUGAUAUUUUAAUAUCUUCAAUUUGGUAUAUCAGAAUAUUAAGAUUUAUUGGGUCUUUAUCAAGAGCCGUCGCCAAUCGAUCAUUUCAUGGGGUUUGAUACAGCCACAGAACUAAGAUAAAAUUUCAUUCGCAGACUAUUACGGUUCGUUCACCAUAAAACAAACGAUAUUUUGAAAAGAAAAUUAAGACUCUGGUAGUUAAUUUGUCUCGUAAUUAAUUAAUUAUUGCCGACAAACCAUCACAAAAAUUUUUCAAUUAUUAUUUACUUUUCCAUUUUCUUUAAGAGUGAGACUAUUUACAUUUUAAAAAUUACUUUGAAUAUUUUUUAUUUUGAUAAAUUAUUCUAUUACAAAAAUACCUAUCAUAUGAAUUACUAAUAAAGACUGUAUCUUUUAUAAACUAAUAUAAUAUUAUUACUCUGAACACUCAUAUAGCAUAGUCAAUAUUCAAUAUAUAAUUUCUUGCUAUAAAUUCUAAAAAUCUCAAUCACAAUCUCUUAGAGAAUGUUUAAUUAAACAAGGGGCAAGUCAAUACUUAAAUAUAUUUAGAACAUUUUUUGCUUUUUAAUUUUUUUUAAAAGUAUGUUUUCGUAGUCUUCUCCUUCUUCUUCUUUUUUUGGUGUGGUGGGGGGCGGGGGUUAAAUGGCCCUUUUGUUAGGUUAAAAAGUUGGGGUGUGAAAAUCAAUAUUGUACAUAUUCUUUAAUAGACAAAAACUAAUAACUAAAAUUUAUGUUAAAGAAUUUGUUUAGAACAAAAUUUUAUUCUAUUGUUGUACAUACUAAAUUGUUAUUAAUUCAUUUUGUACAAAAUGCUCGUUUAGUCUCCAUAUUUUAACUUUAGUGCUUAUUUAAUACCUAUAUUUUAAAAAACGCCUCAAGAUACCUAUACUAUUAAAUAUGUUGUACUCUUUUCCUUACUUUUUCUUAGCUUUUACAAUAAUACCCAACAAUAUUUUUUACAUUAAUUUUUUAAUCUAUAAAAAAAGUUAAUUAGCAAAUUAACUAAUAAUUAAACAUCAAUAUGAAACAAGCGGUAUUUUUUAUACCCUUACAAGAAUCUUGUUGAUCAUUAUUUAUAAAUAAAUUAAUAAUAGCCAAUUUAAAGCAAUGUUUAAUAUCCUUUCAACAACAUUACCAAUAAUUUUUUGUUAAAAAAUUAAUUUACUAAAUUAAUCCUAAAUAUAAAAUAAUAGCAACUAAUUUUUAUUUUACUUUUAUGGCUAAUUUAAUAAAUUUAUUUUUUUCAUUAAUAUCUUUAAGAAUAUUGUUGCAAAGAUAUUAUUAUAACAGUGAAGAACAAGCUCAAUUAAAAUAAAUAAUGCAAGCCAGUACUAAAUACCUAUUAUAAUUUUAGAAUAGUUUAUUAAAAUAAAAAGGGAAAAUGACAUCUACACCUCCAAAAUUUGGGACAAAUGUCACCAACACUCCCAAGUUUUCAUAAAGAGGUACCAAGACCCUCUUUUGACCAUAAUAUCCUUUACCUUUAUUAUCCCAAAAAGAUUGACUUUAAUGCUUUACAAUAAAUAGAAACAUAAAAUUAAAUAAAUGUAAUAAUAUAUACAUUUUAAAAUAAUAUCUAAAAAAUAUUUUAAUAUUUUACAAACCAUUAGAUAUAUUUUAUCAUAUUAAACUUAAUAGUCUAAUAAAUAGAAUCAUGAUAUUAAAAUAAAUGUAUUAAAAUCUAAAUUAGUUUAAAUAUUAUGUAAAAUAAUAAUUUUAACAUUGUUAGUAUGUGAUAUUUUUUUUUUGUAAAAUGUAUUUAACGCAAAUAUUCAUUUAAAAACUCUACAAUAAAUAAACAUAUAUUAUUAAAAUAAAUAUAAUAAUUUCAGUAUUAAAAUUUAUUAACAUAUUAAAAUUUUUAAUAUUUUAAUAUUAUUAGUCUACCGCAUAGAUUACAUUAUUUAUUAAAAAAAUUAAUGUUGAUUUUUUGAGAUAAUAGAAACAAAUAAUAUAAUGGUAAAAAAAAAGUCUUGUUGUCCCUCUUUUAAAAUUUAGAAAUAUUAGUAAUUAUUUUUCUAAACUUUGCAUGCGUAAAUAUCCUCUUUGCAAAUAAAAAAUUUAGAAUGUUCAGUACUAAAUAUAAUUACAAAUGCAAAAAAUUGAUUAUGAGGUACAGCAUUAGUUUCUCGCAAUUAACAAAUAUGGUAUCAUUGUAAAAAGGGAAAAUGGUUUUCACAAGAACACAAAAUUUUGCGUAUAGAAGCCGCCUGUUCAUACGUGCAAACACCACACGCACGCAACAUAUCAAGUAGAAAUCUCACGCGUCUUCCUCAUCAAGCAUCAAGAUUCUCGAUCUGUCUCUCCCGUCUCCACGCAAGGUCGGUCUCAGCUUCGUUCUCCGUCACCACGCAGCAACAGUAAGAGGUCUCAGAGGUCUCUCUUGCUCCCUCACUCUCCCUCACUCUCGCAGCCUCGCUGUCUCUCCAUCACCUUCCGGCGCAGUCCGGCGAAGUCCGGCAACUUUCCGGCGAAGUCCGGCAUGUUCCGGCGACCUUCCGGCGAAGCCGACGGUGGUCCAGCGAGGUCCGGUGGUAAUUCCGUCGACAUUCCAGCAAUAUCUACGGUGGUCCGGCGAGAUCCGGUGGUGUUCCGGCGACUUUCCGGUGGAAGACCAUUUAUAAUAUUAAAUCAAUAAAAUAAAAUAAUAAUUAUUAAUAGUUUUAAAUAAGUUAAAAAAUUAAAGGAUAAUUUUAAAAAUUUUAGUUUUUAAUAUAAGAGGAAUUUAAAUUUUUCAUUAAUUAAUAUAAGAGAAAAUUAAAUUUUGUUUUUUUUUUAAAUUUUAGUUUAACAAUAUAAAUUUUUUUAUCUUUAAAUAGAUAAAUUAAUUGAAUUUUAGAUAUCCAUCAAAUAUUCAUACCCAUCUAAUAUCUAAUUGGAUAUUUUUAAAAAUAUCAAUAUCCAUAUUUAAAAAAAUUUUAAAUAGAUAUUAUUCAAUCUAAUUAGAUUAGAUAUAUGGAUAUCUCAUUUGAAUGGAUCAAUUUACCAUCCCUAUUAGAGAUUCAUCCAGAUCCAGGCACGCAACAGACAAAUGAAAUGAUAUUUUGAAAAGAAAAUUAAUUUGUCUUGUAAUUAAUUAUUGCCGGCAAACUUUAUCUCAAAUCGCACACUUCUUUUCAAUAUUAUCUACUUUUCUAGACUCUACGAUUACUGUCUACAUUUUUCAAUGAAUUAUUGCUCGGUAACUAGUUUUUUUACAAUCAUUUAUUUAGCGGACCAGACAGUGUUUCGGACUAAUUGCAAUCAUUUAACUAUAUAUGGCCGUUAAUCGUACCCAGCCAUUGCGCGAAAAAACAUCAGCCGUUGAUCGUUUAUCUGCACCAUUUUAUAAGAUUUAUAAUAUUUUACUUAUAAAUCAUGAUCUUUAUGGAUUUCUCCACUGAAUGGAGAUGUUUGUGAUUUAUUUGUCAAUUUAAAAGUUUCAACAGUAUCUCAAUGUUGUGCAUUUCAGUUAAUUGGUUAAGGUAAUCUAGUGUAUUUUCAUGAUUUUUAUUCCUAAAUUCAUCAUUACACAUUAUUUCAACAACCUAUCUACUUUGGGGUGUCAAGACCUCGUAGGAAUAAGUGAUCAAUCGCCAAGUUUCAAAAACAUGUUGUGGACAUAUGUUAAGCAAUUCUUUAAACCUGUCCCAAUAUUGGUAUAAUGUUUCUCCAUUUUUUUUUAGUGAAAGAAGUGAUUUGCCUUUUAAAAUAAUUGGUUUUAUGAGAUGGAAAGAAAAUUUUCAAAAGUUGUUCUUGCAUGUUAUUCCAAGUUCUUAUUGAUCAUAUCUAAGGUUUUGUAUCCAAGUUUUAGCUUUAUCUUUUAAUGAAAAAGGAAAAAGGUUUAACCUAAUUAUGUUCAUGCUAUAAUUAGCAAAUUAACUAAUAAUUAAACAUCAAUAUGAAACAAGCGGUAUUUUUUAUACCCUUACAAGAAUCUUGCUGAUCAUUAUUUAUAAAUAAAUUAAUAAUAGCCAAUUUAAAGUAAUGUUUAAUAUCCUUUCAACAACAUUACCAAUAAUUUUUUGUUAAAAAAUUAAUUUACUAAAUUAAUCCUAAAUAUAAAAUAAUAGCAACUAAUUUUUAUUUUACUUUUAUGGCUAAUUUAAUAAAUUUAUUUUUUCAUUAAUAUCUUUAAGAAUAUUGUUGCAAAGAUAUUAUUAUAACAGUGAAGAACAAGCUCAAUUAAAAUAAAUAAUGCAAGCCAGUACUAAAUACCUAUUAUAAUUUUAGAAUAGUUUAUUAAAAUAAAAAGGGAAAAUGACAUUUACACCUCCAAAAUUUGGGAAAAAUGUCACCAACACUCCCAAGUUUUCAUAAAGAGGAACCAAGACCCUCUUUUGACCAUAAUAUCCUUUACCUUUAUUAUCCCAAAAAGAUUGACUCUAAUGCUUUACAAUAAAUAGAAACAUAAAAUUAAAUAAAUGUAAUAAUAUAUACAUUUUAAAAUAAUAUCUAAAAAAUAUUUUAAUAUUUUACAAACCAUUAGAUAUAUUUUAUCAUAUUAAACUUAAUAGUCUAAUAAAUAGAAUCAUGAUAUUAAAAUAAAUGUAUUAAAAUCUAAAUUAGUUUAAAUAUUAUGUAAAAUAAUAAUUUUAACAUUGUUAGUAUGUGAUUUUUUUUAUUUGUAAAAUGUAUUUAACGCAAAUAUUCAUUUAAAAACUCUACAAUAAAUAAACAUAUAUUAUUAAAAUAAAUAUAAUAAUUUCAGUAUUAAAAUAUUAAAAUUUUUAAUAUUUAAUAUUAUUAGUCUACCGCAUAGAUUACAUUAUUUAGAUAUAUUUUUAUUUAUUAAAAAAUUUAAUGUCGAUUUUUUGAGAUAAUAGAAACAAAUAAUAUAAUGGUAAAAAAAAUCUUGAUGUCGCUCUUUUAAAAUUUAGAGAUAUUAGUAAUUAUUUUUCUAAACUUUGCAUGCGUAAAUAUCCUUUUUGCAAAUAAAAAAUUUAGAAUGUUCAGUACUAAAUAUAAUUACAAAUGCAAAAAAUUAAUUAUGAGGUACAGCAUCAGUUUCUCGCAACGUCACAACUACUCACUUUGGCACCGUAGGCGACUUGAUCUCUAUAUAUCAUGCCAAAUCAGAAGCAAGAACUCGCUCAAGUACUUAUUUUUUAAUAUAGUGCACUCGAAGCUAGCAAAGAUCUUUUCUGACUUGAAGAAUAUGAAAACUCUUGCUGGCGCAGGUAUUUAGGCCUACUUCAGUUUCUUUUUUGAGAAGGGCCAACUUCAGUUGAAUAUCAUUUAUAAUUCUUUUUUUAAUAUAUGCAUUUAUGAAUAUAUUUUUCAAUAUAAAAUUUUUAGGUAUGAGCGAUCCGUCAGAAGGUUUGGGAACCCUUUUCAGUAUUGCUGAUGAUGAUGUUGGGAAUGACAAUCUUAAUCUUAUUGUUAUUCCUCAAUAUGGGAGAAAUCCUGAUUAUUAUGGGUAAGUGUCUGCAAUCUGGAUGAUGAUAUAUGUAAUUAAAUAAAAGGAUGGGUACAGUUAUUACCUAUCAAUCAUAAGAGUGUCAAUUUAGUUCAGUUCACUUAUAAAAAUCUCUUAUACAAGAGAUUAUCUUUGUUUGCGUUCAUGUACUUUGUCUUCUUUAAUUAAUAAAUAAAAUUAUUGUGUAUCAAUGUGUUGAUUAAAUUAGUCCAUUAAUAGAUAUAAAAUCAUUUGAAUUUGUCCACAUAUUAGUUUAGUUAAUUGAGCUCUCUUUCUUCUUGAAUAUUUGUUAAACAAAGUCUACCUAUUAGUUAGCUAAAAAUUGCAGCUCGCAGGGAACCAAGAUCUUUAUAAUUAAUUACGAACGUUUAUGCUUCUUAAAUGGCUUGUGUCAUCGUGAUAAUGCCAUUACAACCAGUUAUAUAUAUAUAUAUAUAUAUAUAUAUAUAUAUAUAUAUAUAUAUGUAUGUAUGUAUAUAUUCAAAAGCAUUCCAACUCUAUGAACCUUCUAUUACACAAUUUUCAUAUGGUAUAAACAUCUAUUUUAAUUAGAGUAAAAUGUUGCUUGUUAGAAUGGCCCGUGAGUCAAUCUAAUUUGCGCCGGGACAAAUUAAUAAAACUUUAAUGGGGUUUGAUCACUUAAUGGGGUUUGAUACAGCCACAAAAUUAAGAUAAAGUUUCAAAGACAUACUAUUACAGGUUCAUCCACCAUAAAACAAAUGAUAUUUUGAAAAGAAAAUUAAGACCCUAUUGGUUAAUUUGCCUCAUAGUUAAUUAUUGUCGACAAGACAUCGCAAACUUUCUUCAAUUAUUAUCAACUUUUCUAAAAAAAUCUUUAAUGAUAAAACUAUUUACACUCUAAAAAUGAUUCUUUAACACUUUUAUUUUAAUAAAUUAUUUUAUUAUAAAAAUACUCAUCAUAUGAAUUAUUGACAAAGAUUCUCUCUUAUAGGCUAAAAUAAUAUAAUUAUUCUGAAUACUCAUACAACAUACUCACUAUUCAAUAUAUAAUUUCUCUUGUCAUAAAUUCUAAAAAUCUUAUUUUCAAUCUCUUGAAUAAUGUUUAAUUAAACAAGGAGCAAAUCAAUCCUAAAAAUACAUUUUGAACAUAUUUUUUCUUGUUAAUUUAAAAAAAAGUAGUUUUUUUUUUUUAAAUAAGCGUUUAAUUCAGAAGAUGCAGGCUUGGAGUUAUGAUUUUGGAUGUAGAGAAGAGUUGAUCGGAGAUGAGAAACGGCGGCAGCAAGCUUAUUGAACCGCCGUUCUGAGAAGAAGAGUUUGCUUUUUGCUGUUUCGAGUGGAAUGUCACUUAAUAAUCGAAACAGGGUUCUUUUUUUUUUUUUUAAUACCUAAAGCUUUAUGGUUUAUGCUUAGUAACAAAAAAAAAAAGUCAAAUAUCAGUUGUCUCUAUAACUAACAGUGAGCAAGAUUCGAUUUUGAAAAAUCUUGUACCAAUUUGCUUUUGUGCUAUUUUAUAUUCAAUUGACGAAAGAAUUACUGCUG
rnacentral:lncRNA from 1 species